CUACGGGUCGCUGCAGUUGAGAAUCAUUGUCAAUGCACGAAAGUGUGAACAUGCGACGCCGCGUGGAGGAAGACGGCCUUCGGGUUGUAAACUCCUGUCAGCAGGGAGUAAGGACAGCAUGGUUAAUAACCGUGUUGUUUGAUAGUACCUGCAGAGGAAGUCACGGCUAACUCUGUGCCAGCAGCCGCGGUAAUACAGAGGUGGCGAACGUUGUUCGGAUUUACUGGGCGUAAAGGGUCCGCAGGCGGUCUUGUGUGUCAGAUGUGAAAGCCCACGGCUCAACCGUGGAAUUGCAUUUGAAACUGCAGGACUAGAGUACUGGAGGGGAGAAGGGAACACUUGGUGUAGCGGUGAAAUGCGUAGAUAUCAAGUGGAACACCGGUGGCGAAGGCGCUUCUCUGGACAGAUACUGACGCUCAUGGACGAAAGCUAGGGUAGUGAAAGGGAUUAGAUACCCUCGUAGUC
rnacentral:rRNA from 1 species